rnacentral:lncRNA from 1 species
CCUGUUGUUGGAGAUGAACAUUUUCUGGUGCCCUAAAAUUCACUUUUGGAGCCUCGUAUUUUACUCCAACUACUUUUUUGCGCCCUAUUAUAGGGCUAUGGUUGAAGAUUCCAUGAGUUUUUUGUAGGGUUUUUGAAUUGGCUUCUCAAUUUUUGAAUUUCCCCCAUUGUCUAGUCUCACUAGAAAGCACAAAGAGCAAGGAACUAUGUCUCCUCUCUUAUUCCGUAUUAGAUAUUCUCUUUCAGCUUACUUGAGCAAGAAAAAUUAACAAGCAGGUUCAAUGCGACUAGCACACCAAGGCCCUAAAUCCACAACGCUGCUCUACCACAAACACCAGGCACACCUCCUACAAGAAGUUCUCAUUUUCCUUCUUUCAGUAAGCAGCAAAAAAACUUCUCCUUCAAUCCACUAUAAGCCAGCAGCAUUAGCGGCCAAAAACAGAUCUAGGCAACACAACUCUUCUCUUCUUCUUUGCUAUAGUAGUCACCGCACCAACAUCGCUACCUCUAGUGGAUAGUACCUGUAGAUACACAUCACCCAUCUCUCCUUUCACCACCACAGGCCAACACCGCAGACCUACAAGAUCUUCUGACUUGCAUGCACUAUCGACGGUUGUCUCGGAUGAGCUUUUGAUUUCGAGCAACUAGCCAGCCACACAUCCGCCUCUUGCUGCUACCCCCAGCACCCAUGACCUACCCCCAGCACAUAUAUUUUCUAUUAGUACUAAUUAGUGGGCAUAUUGUCCAAAAAGAAUUUGAUAGCGAGAGGCCAAUAAAGUCAAAACAUGUCAAAUUCUAACAAAACGAGGUAUGUUUCUCCAUUGUCUAAUCACAGCAAAGGGGUGUCUUGGUUUCUUUCAGAUUACAAUCUCAACGAUGUCUAGGUCUAAGUAGGCUAGCUACUAUUACAUAUAUAUUUUCCUUUUCACUAUAUUUUUUAUGAAAUAUGUUUCGAAUAUAUGUCCUCCAGAGAACAUCUUCUUGAUAACUUUUACCAAACCAUAUUUCUUCAAGUAGGGUAACUAAUAAAUAUUUAUAUAGGACCACAACAUCUUAUUAUUUCAUAACAAAAGAUGGCAUUUGCCCUACAAACAAGUGAAAUGCAAAUAAUUCAAUAAUGUUACUGUUACUAGGGAGAAAACAAAGGAAAAAUGCAUAGUAAAAAAAUUAUUUCCUUUAUUAUCAAAUUAUUUACAAGAAUUCAAUGAUGUGCUUAUUCUUUGCUCGACAAAAAGGAUCUAUUAAAUAGUAAGACUAAAACCAUGAAGAAGCUUAUGUGAGGAGUGUGAAACCAUCAAAGAAUGUUAUAGAGUAUGAAGAAACUAUCAUAGCUUUCCCAUGUUUGGUUCCUUCCCCCUAGUGAACCAUAGAGAGAACCACCAACAUGAAUAAAUUUAUCUAAAGGCCAAGUAACAUUGGACAUUAGAAAAACAACCUGUAUUGAUGUCCAUCAUUUUUAUACAUGUUACUCAUGUUUUAGCUAGCUUGAGUUAUGUAUAUUGCACAUCGAGUUAAGUAGAUGUUCACUGUCACUAAUUUUCUUGAAAGAAUUCUCAGUAUGGUUCAUUCAUUCACUAUAAAUCAUUAACUAUUCUAGAAUUGUCGUUACUCAUAAAAAAAUCACAAAAAUGUUCAACGCCAAAUUAAUUGAAGCAAAUUCAAGUGUGUCAAGUCCACUUUCAAUAGCAUAUGAGUGAAUUUAUCCUACCAAAACUGUCUCUUGAGAGUUCAUGCCCAUACAAAAUAUAACUAAUAUCCUAGAGUAUAAUUCACAUCGUUUUACCAAGAAUUUUAUGUACUAAAAAUCAUUUACACAGAAAAGAUUUAAAACACAAUUUAAAAAGUUGUAUCAUUUCAUUUUUGUUUCAUUAGUAUAUAACACAAAAAUAAUGUAAAAAUAUAGGGAAACACACAUUUUUUCAGUAAGAAUAAUAGUCACCAAACACGACAUUGUAAUUUCGUAAUAAAUUAACAAUGGAUAAUGAUGAUCCCCUUGGAUCUGCCUAAGACAAAACUAUGUUCGCCAAAGGCGCAUAUGUGAGAAUGUGAUCACAUUUGAAUGUAAGUUUCCCUAGACAAAUUAAAUAAUAUGUGUUCAUGAUACAACUUCAUAAAAUUCUAGCCAGCACAUUGGGCGGGCCACUAUGCUAGUACAGUGAAAAUCACAAACAUAUAUAAGUAAUUUGAAACCGACGACACUAAUUACCUUCGAUCCUUGGGUUCCUUGUUUUAUAGUAGUUUGGCAGUGAUCCCUCUCUCUGAAUAAUAGUCACAAUGGUAAUGUCAAACAGAACUUACUUGUUUAAUCCCCAGCAUAGGUUACAAUCUUUUCUCGAGUAUUUUCAUGUCAACAUAAAUAGUCAAUGCAUUUUUGGUGCUUUUAGAGAACUAAAUACCACAUGUUGUUUCCAUCUUUGAGACCUGAAGAUCAUGUCUUUUUCAAUGAAAAAAUAGUGCACAAUUGCUUUACUAGUAGUGUUGGGGAUAUAACUACUAAGUAUAAACCGCCCAGGAGGGGCCGGGUUAUACCUAUAAUGAGUUAUCUAUAUUGACGCUCAUGAAGACAAUGAGUUUUGCGCUUUACUGUAGAUAUCUAAAAACCCAGAGCCCAAAGGCGGAUUAGGGCCCGUAGACAUAAACCGCUGUAAGGUGUGUAACUUGUGUUGUAAGAUAGGAAAGGAUAGAAACCGAGCCGGACACAUUUAUGAGCCGGCCGGGAUUUUGUAAACCGCCGGGCGUCAACCUGUGUAUAUAAAGGGACGACCCGGCGGCGGUUCAAGGACAAAAAACAGCAACUCGAGAGCCAGGUCAAGCGGAUUCGCUCCCUGGUCAUCGAAACCCUAGCAAUUCCACAACAACUGGAUUAGGCCUUUACCCUCACCACAAGGGGCCGAACCAGUAUAAACUCCUUGCGUCCUUUGUCCCGCUUUAGCCCCUUUAAGCUAACCCGUCGCGAUGGCUCCACGACUAAGUCCUCACACUAGGACAUCUGCCGUGACUAACCCACGACAGUUGGUGCCCACCGUGGGGCCAUCGCACGAUGGUUUCAAGUUCUUAGAGGGUAGCUUCGAAGGGCUCAAGGGAUACACGGUAGUCCGGAUGACCAAGAGUCGUCACGGCAAGCUCUACAUCAACGAUGCAGGCUGGGGCCCCGAGGCCGGCUCAAUGAGUACGGGUACCGGGUCCCCUUUGGUGGUAUUCACGUCUUCAUUGGCAAGAUUGGCGAACUGGGCCCUGAGCCGGACAUCUGCACCGACAUCGUCGAAACGGCUCAGCGUGCAAGAUCCGACCGGGUUCAGCCUGCCAUGAAGCAUGCCUUCGUGGGAGUCAUCCACGGAGUGGAAUCUGAGGAUGGAUCGCCGUCUGGUGGUGAAACCGUCGUCUACUCUGAUGACGAGUUGUCCAUCGGAGAGACCGAGUCAUUGUACCAAUUGUAAGAUGGCCGGUUUGGGGGAUGUUUUGAUCGCGACAGUAUUCCGGACCCUCUCGAUCCGCUGAGCCGAGUUGCGAUCUUCAUGGCCGGUACGCAGUCAUUGCAACACUCAUUGACCGCAACGGCGAUGAUCUCCGGUUCAGCGCCGGUGACAGCUGCUGGGGCAGGAGGCCCUGCGCAACCACCGGUUCAGGUUUUGUCCGAUUUAUUCGACACUUUGGCAACACUGUUGGCGGCUGAGGUUAAUCCUGCCGAUCAGGAUCAGCAUAACGCAGAAGUUGCGAAGGUAAAGGAUCAGAUAGCUCAAGCCAAGGCAGACCUGGCAGCUGGGAACACCAGGAUGGCUGCAGAGCGGGCCGAGUUGGAUGCACAGGCUUAUCGGCUUAUGUUGGAUCAGAACGCGUCAAAUGACUUAAUGAGGAGAAGGUACCGGUCUCACCUGCCUCCGGUUUAUGAGGCAAGGAAUCUCUUUAACACGCCAGGAGCAGGAACCAGCAACCAGCCGGUGGUGAACCGGGUAGAAGCACCUGGAACGGGGGCGCCGGUCCAGGCGCGCGCAAUGGAUCCGCCUCGUCAGAAUAUCCUGUCACAACAUGUAUCGACGCCUCCGGGUCAUUACUCCAACCCCAUGGAUAACAUAGUCGCUGCCGCUUCACGAUUGGCUGCCCUCCCAGUCGAAGGCGAGUCCCCCGUGGCGGUUGAGACGCGACGGGCUAGGGAGCUCCUUCAGACAGCCUUGACUCAGCAACAGGCUUAUUCGUACAGCCGCUAGAGNNNNNNNNNNNNNNNNNNNNNNNNNNNNNNNNNNNNNNNNNNNNNNNNNNNNNNNNNNNNNNNNNNNNNNNNNNNNNNNNNNNNNNNNNNNNNNNNNNNNNNNNNNNNNNNNNNNNNNNNNNNNNNNNNNNNNNNNNNNNNNNNNNNNNNNNNNNNNNNNNNNNNNNNNNNNNNNNNNNNNNNNNNNNNNNNNNNNNNNNNNNNNNNNNNNNNNNNNNNNNNNNNNNNNNNNNNNNNNNNNNNNNNNNNNNNNNNNNNNNNNNNNNNNNNNNNNNNNNNNNNNNCCGGAGUUACAGCAGGCACAUUGAUGAACCGGCCAUGUCAAGCAGUGCGCGGAACCGUAACCCUCCUCAAGGAUAUAACCCGGUGGGCAAUGGUGCUAAUGCUCAGGACUUGGUGGCUCAUGGUAGAGCUCGUUGAGAAGCCGAAUUAGCGGUGCACACUACUAGGAAAAGGGCUAUAGAUGAUAUGGCCACUAAUGGCGCACUAGACAUGUGGUGCGCCAUUACUAUAUACUAAUGGCGCACCAUGUGUUGGCGCGCCAUUAGUAAUAUAUUACUAAUGGCGCACCUGGUGUUUGGUGCGCCAUUAGUAGUUUUGAAAAAAAUAAGUAAAAAAAAUUUGUUACUAAUGGCGCACCGUGGUAUAGUGCGCCAUUACUAGUUGACAUAGUAAUGGCGCACCACCCCCACCGUGCGCCAUUAGUAGUUUUGAAAAAAAAAAUUGUUAGUAAUGCCGAGCCCCACCUCCCCUCGCCCCGUCGCCCCCCUCCCCUCGCCGCCCCCUCGCCCCACCGUCCCAACCACCCGCCGCCGCCGCCGCCACCCGCAACCGCCCCCUGGCCCCACCGCNNNNNNNNNNNNNNNNNNNNNNNNNNNNNNNNNNNNNNNNNNNNNNNNNNNNNNNNNNNNNNNNNNNNNNNNNNNNNNNNNNNNNNNNNNNNNNNNNNNNNNNNNNNNNNNNNNNNNNNNNNNNNNNNNNNNNNNNNNNNNNNNNNNNNNNNNNNNNNNNNNNNNNNNNNNNNNNNNNNNNNNNNNNNNNNNNNNNNNNNNNNNNNNNNNNNNNNNNNNNNNNNNNNNNNNNNNNNNNNNNNNNNNNNNNNNNNNNNNNNNNNNNNNNNNNNNNNNNNNNNNNNNNNNNNNNNNNNNNNNNNNNNNNNNNNNNNNNNNNNNNNNNNNNNNNNNNNNNNNNNNNNNNNNNNNNNNNNNNNNNNNNNNNNNNNNNNNNNNNNNNNNNNNNNNNNNNNNNNNNNNNNNNNNNNNNNNNNNNNNNNNNNNNNNNNNNNNNNNNNNNNNNNNNNNNNNNNNNNNNNNNNNNNNNNNNNNNNNNNNNNNNNNNNNNNNNNNNNNNNNNNNNNNNNNNNNNNNNNNNNNNNNNNNNNNNNNNNNNNNNNNNNNNNNNNNNNNNNNNNNNNNNNNNNNNNNNNNNNNNNNNNNNNNNNNNNNNNNNNNNNNNNNNNNNNNNNNNNNNNNNNNNNNNNNNNNNNNNNNNNNNNNNNNNNNNNNNNNNNNNNNNNNNNNNNNNNNNNNNNNNNNNNNNNNNNNNNNNNNNNNNNNNNNNNNNNNNNNNNNNNNNNNNNNNNNNNNNNNNNNNNNNNNNNNNNNNNNNNNNNNNNNNNNNNNNNNNNNNNNNNNNNNNNNNNNNNNNNNNNNNNNNNNNNNNNNNNNNNNNNNNNNNNNNNNNNNNNNNNNNNNNNNNCGGAGCCAGGCUCGCCGCCGCUGCCCUAACCGCGGUCGUCCACCACCACCCCCUGCCCCCGGAGCCAAGGUGAGCAUUUUUUUUGUUUUUUUCUACUGUUUUUCUUUGCUGUUUAGGUUUAAUUAGGUUAUUGAUAGGUUUAGGUUAGUGGUUGGUUUAGGUUAGUGCUAGAUUUAGGUUUAGAUAAUUAGAAGAAGAAGAAAGUUGAAAUUACUUAUGUUAGCACAAAAUGAUCAAGUUUACAUAAUAAGCUUAUAGUCUUCUUCUUAUUCUUCUUAUUCUUCUUCUAGUAUUCUUCUAGUGUUCUUCUUCUUCUAGUAUUCUUCUAGUCUUCUCCUUCUUCUUCUCUUCUUCUUCUUCUUCUUCUCUUCUUCUUCUUCUUCUAACUUCUUGUUUAUCAUUUUGUAGAUUUGAUUUAAUUCACGGAGGCUUGCAUGGAUGGAGUGCUUCGUUUCCAUUUGUGUUUUUAUUUUGUAUCAAUGUGAAACUUUUGUGAAUUGAUGGAUAACGGUGUUGGAUGAACAAUGUGAAACUUUUGUAAUAUGUAACGAUGCAACUAUGUGUUGGCUAUGUAUGUAUAUAUGAUGAAACUUGUGUGUUGGAUAUGAUUGUUAUAUGGAUGCUUGUUGUAUAUAUAUAUAUGUGUUGGAUAUCUCAUAUGUGAAAUAGUGACCUGAGAUUAAGAAAAAACGAAAAAAAAUUAAAAAAAUUGUUACUAAUGGCGCACUUCCAUGUGGUGCGCCAUUAGUAUACCAGAUACGACUGGCGCACCUGUGGGAUACUAAUGGUGCACCAGCGGUGCGCCAUUAGUAAAAAAUACUAGUGGCGUGGUGCUAGUGGCGCACCAGUAGUGCGCCAUUAGUAGGCAAAACUGGUGCGCCACUAGUAAGCCUUUUUCUAGUAGUGGCAGUACGCGGCCCGUCAGCUUACCCCGGUUCGUCCAACAACUUCGAUGGAGCCAAGAGUUACCUCCAGUUCUUUGGGGGUGCCGUGUCUCGCCCCGGCUCUACGUAAUGUACGACUGCCCAAGGACUUCAAGGGUCCUUGUAAAGUGCCCAAUUACACUGCCGAUUUACCCCCCGAGUCAUGGGUCGAAAGCUAUGAGAUGGCGAUGGAGAUGCUGGACGUGGAUGAUGCGGCAUGUGCUAAAUACUUCACCAUGAUGUUGGAAGGAACAGCUCGCGGUUGGCUGAAAAGUUUGCCAGCUAACUCCAUUGGGUCAUGGGCCGAGUUAAAGGCCCGGUUUAUCCAGAAUUUCAAGGAUACGUGCAAGCAGCCAAUGUCAAUUGUGGACUUAGCCGCCUGUGUCUUGCAUUCAUCGGACCGCAUCAAUGCCGAUACAGCAGUCUUAACGUUGGAGGGCAAUUGUCGGUUCACGCCUUUCAAGCUGAAGUUGGGACGGCUCAAGCGUCACUACAAUGACAUGGGAACGCUUAUGGCAGCCCUGGUUAAGUAUGCCGACUCUGAUAGUACCAAGGACCCCGAGUCUAACGAUGAAAAACCGGGAAAGGGAAAGAAGAGCGGCAACACCAAACGGCAGUAGCAUAACCCGCCGGGCCAUGGAAACAACGGUAAGCGUAAAGCGGAUAACAGUUUAGAUUUUGUGGCUAACACCAACACGCAGAAUAAUGGUCAGCGUCGUAAGGGUAAACCGUGGCCGCGGGGUGGAGGAUCAAGUGUCAAUCUUGAGCACCUGUUAAACAAGCCUUGCCCAAGGCACUGGACGCAAGAAAGGCCAGCUACGCACCUCUAGAAGGAUUGCUUUAUUAUGCGGGAGUUUCAAAACUCGGAUCUUUUCCAAUAUGAUCAUGGACCGCCCGGCGGUUCAGGACCCGGAUCUCAUGGCCCGGGUUAUGGUGGAGGUAGUUCUGGCUCGGGAUUUCAAGGUACUCAAAGCGGACACGACAAUCGGGCAGUCAGGGCAACCAGGGUGGUUAUACUCAGCAGGGGAGUCAGCAGCAGCAACAGUCAGGGUACCAGAGCAACCCGAAGCAGUUGAAUAGUGGACAGUAUCAUGUCUUCACCACUAGCAUGUGCAAGCGCGAUCAGAAGCUUCGUAAAAGGGCAGUGAAUUCCAUUGAGCCGGCAGCGCCCCGUUACUUGCGCUGGUCUGAACAGCCCAUUGUGUGGAGUCGAGAGGAUCACCGGCCCCGCGUUGAUAAUCCGGGUCAUCUGGCGUUGGUUGUGGCGCCUUAGGUUGGAGGGUAUAAGUUUACCAAGGUGCUCAUGGAUGGAGGGAGCAGUAUCAAUAUCCUUUAUUAUAAAUCUUCCGUCGCAUGGGGUUGACAGAUAAAAAUCUUAAACCGUCGAACACUGUUUUCCAUGGUGUGGUGCCUGGUAAAUCGGCAUAUCUAGUUGGUAAGAUAACUCUGGAGGUUGCUUUUGGAGAUGAUCAUGAUUCAAGAUCAGAGACAUUGACUUUUGAAGUGGUGAAAAUCAAGAGCCCAUAUCAUGCCCUGUUUGGACGUCUGGCUUAUGCUAAGUUCAUGGCAAGGCCCUAUUAUGUUUAUCUGUAGCUCAAGAUGCCAGGUCAUAAAGGGACAAUCACGGUACAUGGGAGCCGUAAGAUUGCUUUGGAAUGUGAAGAAGGUGAUGCGGCAUAUGCUGAGUCGGUUUGUGCAACAGAGGAGUUGAAGUUCUACAAGCACAAUGUUGAUCCGGCGGAUAUGACUUCUUUGAAAAAGCCAACUACAGAGCAUGAUCCGGCUUUGAAGUUUAAAUCGGCUGAUGAGACUAAGCUGGUUGAUUUUGUUCCUGGCGAUUCAUCCAAACAGUUUAGCAUCAGCGCUAACCUGGAUCCGAAAUAGGAAAGCGUGCUCAUCGAGUUCAUCCAUGAGAACCGGGACAUCUUUGCAUGGAAACCUUCUGACAUGCCAGGUGUAGCGAGGGACCUCGCUGAGCACACUCUUAAUAUCGAUCCCAAGUUUAAACCGGUCAAGCAGUUUCUCCGCGCUUCAAUGAAGAAAGGUGCAAGGCCAUUGGUGAGGAGGUAGCCAAGCUCUUGGCGGCUGGGUUUAUCAUUGAAGUAUUUCAUCCUGAGUGGUUGGCUAACCCGGUGCUGGUACUUAAGAAGAACGGCACUUGGUGUAUGUGUGUGGAUUACAUAGAUUUUAACAAGGCUUGUCCAGCUGAUCCCUUUGCUCUCCCUCAGAUUGAUCAGAUUAUUGAUGCUACGGUGGGUUGUGAGCGUUUGAGUUUUCUGGAUGCUUAUUCCCGUUACCAUCAGAUCAAAAUGGCAGUUAAGGACCAGGAGAAGAUAACUUUUAUAACUCCCUUUGGGGCCUUCUGCUAUGUAUCUAUGCCUUUUGGGCUCAAGAGUGCCCAGGCGACUUAUCAGCGCUGUGUGCAGAAUUUUCUUCAUAAUCAGAUUGGGCGCAAUGUCCAUGCUUAUGUGGAUGAUAUUGUGGUGAAUUCCAGAAAGGAGGAGACGUUAAUAGAUGAUUUGAAGGAAACUUUUGAUAAUCUCCGGGAAUAUAAGAUGAUGCUUAAUCCGGUCAAGUGUGUUUUUGGUGUACCGACAGGCAAGCUCUUGGGGUUUCUGGUGUCUAACAGGGGCAUUGAAGCUAAUCUGGAAAAGAUCAAAGCUAUUACGUCUCUGGCUAAACCGGCGUAUAUCAAUGAUGUUCAACGUCUGGCAGGUCGUAUUGCAGCGCUGAGCUGGUUUAUCAGCUGAUUGGGAGAGAAAGCUAUCCCUCUAUAUCAGAUGAUGAAAAAGACAGACAAUUUUGGCUGGAGUGAUGCUGCUAAUUUGGCGUUUGAGGACUUGAAGAAACAGUUAGCUAAGCCACCUGUCCUUGCUGCUCCGGUCGAUAAAGAGCCGUUGUUGUUAUAUGUGGCUGCUAAUGCCCGGGCUGUCAGUGUGGCCAUUGUAGUAGAGUGCAAGGAGGCUGGGAAGGAAUAUCCGGUUCAAUGGCCGGUUUAUUAUAUCAGUGAGGUGCUUAUUGUAUCCAAACAGAGGUACCCACAUUGGCAGAAACUGGUGUAUGGAGUUUUCAUGGCAAGCCGGAAGCUUAAGCAGUAUUUUCAGUUCUGCCCCUUUAGGAGAUAUAAUCCAAAACAGGGAAGCAACUGGCCGGGUUGCCAAGUGGGCCAUUGAGCUUGGACCUCACGGGUUAAAAUAUGUGCCUCGUACGGCAAUCAAGUCCCAAGCGCUUGUGGAUUUCAUCAAUGACUAGACAGAGUUACAAGCGCCAGAAGAAAAGCCGGAUCAUACUUAUUGGACAAUUGGAGGGCUCGGGGGCUGGAGUCAUGUUAACUUCCCCACGAGGUGAUAAGGUUUGUUAUGUUCUCCGUUUAAUGUUCCCUUGCACUAACAAUGCAGCUAAGUAUGAGGCUUUACCCCACGGUCUUCGAAUGGCUAAGGAGAUGAAUUUAAGCCGGGUUAAGUGCUUUUGUGACUCGGACCUGGUGGCUCAACAAGUGUCUGGUACUUGGGAUUCCAAGGACCCGCUCAUGGCAGCAUAUCGUCGAGAGGUGGAUAUUGUUGCUGGUCACUUCAAAGGUUAUCAGGUUGAUCAUGUCGACCGGCGAAAGAACGAAGAGGCGGACGCUUUGAGCCGCUUGGGUUCCCAACGUAAACUGGUGCCCCCCAAUGUUUUUUUUGGAUGUUUUGCAUAACCCGUCGGUCAAGCUGCCUACAGAGGAGGAUUUGGUUGUUCCUGACCCGGAGGCUCAGCUGCUGGCAGCUCUUCAUGUUAUCCCAGAUUGGACGGUCCCAUAUUUGGCGUAUAUGAACCGGGGCGAGCUGCCGGAGGAUGAAACUUUGGUCAGGCAGAUAAUCCGGCAAUCCAAGUCAAUGACUAUUCUCAAUGGAGAAUUGCAUCAUUGCAGUGUAAUAGGGGCGUUUCAGCGUUGCGUAUCUCCUGAAGAAGGCCGUGAGAUUUUGCGUGAGAUCCACGAAGGGGAUUGUGGUCACCACGCCGGUUUAAAGUCCUUGGUAACUAAAACUUUUCGUCAUAGCUUCUAUUGGCUGACGGCUCACGCUGAUGCUGAGGACUUGGUGAAAAAGUGUGAUGGUUGUUAGAAGUUUUCACGUCGAGCUCAUGUUCCGGCUCAGGAAUUGAGGAUGAUUCCAAUCACUUGGCCUUUUGCAACUUGGGGGCUGGAUAUGGUUGGGCCCUUUAAGAGGUCCAAGGAUAAGAAGACCCACCUUCUGGUGGACGUUGACAAGUUCACUAAAUGGGUGGAAGCAGAGCUAGUCAGUAAGUGUGAUGCAGCUACGGCGGUUCAAUUCAUCAAGAAGGUGAUUUUCCGGUUUGUUUGUCCACACAAGAUCAUAACUGAUAAUGGCACUAAUCUGUCCAAGGGUGCUAUGAAAGAAUUUUGUCAACGUGAGCACAUCCGGCUUGACGUAUCAUCAGUGGCUCACCCCCAAUCUAAUGGUCAAGCGGAGAGAGCCAAUCAAGAGAUCCUGAGAGGUAUCAAGCCCCGGCUUAUGGUUCCUUUACAACGGACAUCGGGUUGUUGGGUGGAGGAGUUACCUUCUGUGUUAUGGAGUAUCAAUACCACACCCAAUAGAUCUACGGGUUACACGCCUUUUUCCAUGAUCUAUGGAGCAGAGGCGGUUCUCCCUAGUGACAUCCGUCAUGACUCGCCUCGGGUGGCGGCUUAUGUUGAGGCUGACAAUGAGAAAGCACGUCAGGAAGCACUUGACCUACUAGAUGAGGAGCGUGACAUUGCAGCGGCUCAUUCGGCGAUUUACCAGCAAGAUCUACGUUGUUAUCACAGCUGCCGGGUUAAAACCAGAACUUUUCAAGAAGGCAAUCUGGUGCUCCGGUUUAUCCAGGAUCAGACUAAUAUGCACAAAUUAUCCCCGCCUUGGGAAGGACCUUUUGUGGUCAGCAAGAAUCUGCAUAACGGGUCAUACUACCUUAUCGAUGUUCGAGAGCACAAAGACUCAGGUAAAUCAGAGGAGGAGACCCACUGGCCAUGGAAUAUCGCUCAUCUUCGGCCCUGCUACACCUCAGCCAUAGGCUCCUUUUAUGUACAUAUUCUUGACAAUGUAUAUAUUAUGAUCAAUAUAAUAAACCGGCAUCCCUACUAAAGCAGGGCCUCUGCCGUUCUUCCUUCAAAAGUGUUUGGUUACAUGGGGGCUUCUGUUUAUAAAGCGGAGUUCUUAUUACCCAUUGAUCCGGCUUAUAAAGCCACACAAAAUAUUUGGGGCUUGUUACCCAAAGGUAAAAGGGGCAAAAGCACAACUCAAACAUAGGCACCCAUUGAGCACAACUCAAAAUAUUACUCGGGGGCUUUUUGCUUCUACAAGAACAAAAGUCUAUAACAUUCUAAUAGGCUAUAAAAGCCAGGCUUGGAAGUCACGUGUAUUCACUUAAAACCCCGGGUUAUCCUGCCUUUUUUAAGUAAGCCACUCCGCCAGGUAAUCCUGGUAAGACCUGUCUAACGUUUGACAAGUCAAUCUUAUAAAGACCCUGAACUUGUCAUAGUUAAAAUGACGAUUGGUUAAUGUCAGGUCCAUCUUAUAAAGGAUUUGUAAAAUGGUUAACUCAGCGGCCUAGCAGCCCAUGAAAAUCCACGUCUUUUUCCAUAUUUUCUUCAGAUUUUUUCCUUUUUGAGAUUUAUUUUGAGGAGGUUUAUACUAAUCUAGUGUUCAUUGACCCAGUCUAGCUGUUGACUAUAUGUCGGCUGAACAAACUAAAAAGAUUGCUGGUGUCUAUUGGCCCGGCUUGGCUUUCGAUUACAAAUCGCCAGCGAUAAUCCAGUGUUUAUUAACCCAGUUUGGCUUCGAUUACAAGUCGCCAGUAUGAUAUAUGGAUAAUUCGGUGUUUAUUACAACCCGGUACGGCUUUACUACAAACCGGCAAAACAUGGGAGGAGUUAUCAGUACUCAAGAUCUGGGUUAUCACCCUUACUACAAAAAGUUGGUAAACCAACGAUGUGAUUCAAUAUCACAGGUAUGAUAUAUUUCAUAUUUGAUUAUUCUUAAGUACAACCUUGGUUAUAAACCAGGUUAUAUGUUGGGCAUUAUGACCCAUCCGGCGGUAAACCGCAGGACACUUUAAACUUGUUGUAUGCAGAAACAGGUUGAAUAAAGCUGCUAAGGAUCGUAAGCAGGCAUAACAUAUCUUAAAUCAAGGCAGAUUAACAGUGUCAUGCAAAGGGAACAUGCACGAUGGCAUAGCAGACCAAGUAUUUAAACUAGCCUAUUACAAGGCGCUUUGAAGCCCAAAAGGAUAAUUGUUUAUCACAAGCAUUGCAGUGUGCAGAAGUUAAACCGAACUCCGGAUCAUGAUUCUUCACCAGGCUGACUUGAAGGUUGUGGAUCAUCCUGCGCCGGUUCAUCCUCCUCCUCUCCACCCAGUGGCUGGAAGUCACUGGUUGCCCAGUCAAUCCUAGUUAAGGCUUGGAAGACAGUUUCGUCCCUCGUAAGGGUGGACGGUUCAACAUCAGGGGCGUAGGUAUGCUUACGGAUUGGCGGGAUAAGGUUUUGCACAUCAUAAGUUGGUGCGUUAACCCGUUUGUUUUUGGCGUCGUAAAUCGACUGGUAAUAUGACAAAUCAGUGUCUUCAGCCAAUUUGCUUGCUAGUGGACGCAUUUCCCUCGUUAGGGCCCUGAGGUCGUCAUUAUCAAAGUCUGACCCGUCCUCUUCCUGGCUUGGAUAGCUGUUUCCAAUAUCCUCCGGAUCAAGGUCAGAUAUCCAUGCCUUGGCCCGAGUCAAUGCAGUAAGAGCACCGGCCCUAGCAGCUGAUUUCUUCAAUUCCUCAAACCGGCCAGGCAUCAUAGAUAACCUUUUCAAUGUUUCCUUGAUUAAAGUUGGGGGCGGUUUAUUAUGCCAAGCUGUGCAGAUGACCCGUUGAGAGCCGGUAUACAAUUGCUCUAUCAGUGUAUAAGCAGCCUUCAGUUUUUUGCGCAUGUCCGAGCCAAGAUGAGUAACGCGGCUACCUGCAAUGAUCAAAAUAUUGGUAAACUGGCAGUUUCAUGGAUGUUGUUUAUUUAAAGUUUUUGAAGAGGAUAUUUACCGAAGACAGCAGUGGUCAUAGCAUUGAUUUGGUGCUUCAAGCCAGUCAGUUCUUCUGCUGCCGGUUUAAGGGCUGGUUCAGCGUCCUCCGCCCGCUUUAGCAGCGUUGCUCUUUCAGUGUCCCAUCCUGCCCAUUCGCUUUUAAAGCUUUCCUUCAGUUGUUCCAUGGCUGUCAAAGCGCUGGUCAUCUCUUCUUUAGCCUUGGACGUUUCUGCUUGCUGGGACUUGACAUUUUCUUGAAGGUCGGCGAUUUGAGAUUCCUUUUUGCUCAGAUCAGCCUGCAAGAGACAUUUCAGGAGUUGGUACUGCAUAUUUGAAGUCCCAAGCACAUAACAAGUUAUACACUUGGCACUUGGGGGCUAAUGCAUAUUGCUUCUUAUCAACGGUUAUUUUAAGUCCCAAGCACAUAACAAGUUAUACACAUGGCACUUGGGGGCUAAUGCAUGUUUGCUUAAGUCAAGGUUAUGGAUUUUUUCCUCUUCAAACAAAUUACAAAGAUGAUUAUUAAGAAUUUUGGAAGCUUCAUGACAGAAAGGUACCGGUUCAUCCUAAAGGUAUAAACCGGUCCCUGGGGGCUACGCAAGCAAAAGUAAAUAUUGUUCUGCUACAAGUCCCGAUUCACAUUAAUAUUAUGAACCGGCCCUUGGGGGCUACUAGAAUUGAUAGUCUAAACCGUUCGUAAGGAAAGUAAGCUUAUACAUAGUGAGUGAUAUUUACCUCAUACCGCUCCUUCAUCAGACCCACUAAACCAGCUUCAUAGUCCCGGCUUGUGUAAAGGCGGUUUAAGAAUCCAGAAUGAAUGCCUUGGGCAUUGAGGUGGGCAUAGCUUGAUAAAUCUGUUUUCCACUUGCCCUUGUCCAUAGCAGAAAGUUCUUCCUUGGCACUAUGUUUUGAUAAAGCGACAGGAUUGCCAUGGGUGGUGUGGCCGAUGCCGGUUAUCAUAAUAUCGUCUGUAUUAUCAUCAGCAGCUUUGGCUGGACUUGGCGGUUUAUCAGCCGUUUUUGCUGGGCUUGGCGGAUCAGCAGCCUGACUUGUCGUAUCUGUUUCCACUGGCUCAACAAAAGUAUCAUGAACUUGAGGUACCAGAUCAUCCAAGUCAGCAUCAGCAUUUGGGUCCAGUGGUUCUGGGUCUUCUUCCAGUUCAGUGGCCGGGUUAUCACCAGUCGCUUUAUUCAGUUUGGCCUUCUUUCUGGGUCUGGCCUUGGCACUGAAAGGUACAAAUAUAAAGGUUAGUACAAUAAACAAGUAUAAGGCAUAAAGGGUGAAGUUUCAUAUGCUCACCUAGGAACAGUCUUGAGAGGAGUGUAGGAGAUAUGCCCUAGAGGCAAUAAUAAAUGAUAUUAUUUAUCUCCAAGUUCAUAAUUAUGUUUAUGUUCCAUGCUAUAACUGCAAUGAUUCUCGAGUCUGCAAUAUCCACGAGGCUCGGAGGGAGACUCAUAUGCACGUGUGGAAUAAUAAACGGUAAGAAGUAUUCCUAGUCUGGCCUCUAAGACUAGCUCAAGUGUUGCAUGAUGGUUCUGUUUUCCUUAUCAUGGGCAUGUCUGCCAUCAAUUUUGAGAGCACAAUGUUAAGAGAACAUUUGUGUUGAAUCAACCUGGAUUGAUGUUAUGCUAUGAGAUUCAUUUGUCACAAGUUAAUGGUACAUAACACAGAGAUGGUUAACGUUUGCAUGAUUCCUUAGACCAUGAGAGUAUUGAUUUUCUUCAUGCUUGCUUCCUGAACUUUGGGGUUUGUUAAACGUCAUCCGUAAAUGGGUGGCUAUUACGGCGGCUUACGGGUUCAUGGAAAAGUAUGUCAAGUAACUUGAUAGAUCAAGAUUGGGAUUUGCUCCUCCGACGAUGGAGAGAUAUUCUCGGGCCCUCUCCGUGUUACGGUAUCCAUAAUCGUCUGGCCAGAGACCUUGUGAUUUGAUCACUGGGAUGCCGGAACACGGAAACGAGAAAAGAGAACAAAACUGGUAACGAGGUAACUUGCAUGGUGGACAAAUUGUUCGUCCACGUGGAUGCAAUAAAUCUCACCUCGGGUGUUUGUGACAUAUCGCGAAGCAACAGGAAUAGCUCACUGCAACUAGAGGUUCACUCGAAUAUUUAUUCGUGUGGGUAUAGGGGUCAAUAUGGGUGUCCACGGCUCCGAUGUUGAUCAUUGAUAGGAAGGGGUUCCGGGUCAUGUCUAUAUUUCACCGAACCUAUAGGGUCACACGCUUAAGGGUCAUCUAUCAGUUGAAUACUAGACAGGAAGUCUGAGAGAAAAUCACCGAAAAAGUUUCGGACAUCGAAAAGUUUCGCACAGAGAGGUUAUCGGGUGAGUUUUGGUGAAACCAAAAAGUUGUUUCGGGAUAUACUAUUAAGUCAAAUUGGUUUCGGCACAUGCCUGAUAAUUCUUGGAGGGUGCCAGAGUCAUUCUGGAAACUUUCUGGAAUUUUCCGGGAUAAAAGCUGAAAUUGCUCCGGAGCUGCCGGAACCACUUCAGAUGCUUUUCGCAGAUGAAAAUCACUAAUCCGGAAUUGUUUCGGAACGCGUUGAAAAUAAUUUGAGUUGGUACUGGAAAUGUUCUAAGCCCACAUAAAUAUUUCAGUUCGAACGGACGCUGAAAAAUGUCGUCAUGAAUAGUGAAAGUGCUUUUUGGGAUAUUUAUGGAAAGCCACCUUUUGGGGCUUUUCCCAAAAGGCUUCUAGAAGGACUUGGGGAUCAAGGAACCCCCUUUGGGGGGCCCCCAUGAAGGUGGGACGUUGGAGGUGCAGCUCCUCCAUGGGGCUCCACUUGUCAUCCCUUUAUGCCCUUUAUGCCCUUUAUGUGUGACAUAAAUUGUGGGCAUUUUUUGGGUUUUUCAUGAGUCCCCUACCCCUUGGGUUUUCCUAUAAAUACAGUUGGAGAGGCACUCUCCACACUCACUCUUUCUCACAUACAAGUGCGAUUGCAAUGAUCUGGCUUCUCUCUCCCUCCCUGCGAAAUAGUUUCGUAGAGCCGAAAGGUUGUCUGGGUUCCGGCAGGAACUAGUUCUGGACGGCGAAGCCCUGCCAGAGAGAUGACACCGUAUGUGUGCAACUAUGUAGAGAGAUUGUAAUUUCGGUCUUAUUUCGAGAGUGCCUCCCGAAGGGCUGUCCAUGUGACCAUCCGAGUUUCAAAUGUCCUCCCGAAGGGCUGUUUGAGUGACCGUCCAAAUUUCGAAGGUCCUCCCGAAGGGCUGUCCGCGACACCGUCCGGGGGACUGUUCGACCACCUCCCGGAGGGCUGUCCGAGGGGCAGACGAGGGUAUACAUCCUCGCGGUUGGGAGGUUGUAAAAUCCUAGCUGCGGGGAUCUGCACCGCCGAUCGUCAUCGACUCUACUUCCCGCUGCGUUACGAGUCGGUAACAAAAAAGAUCAAACCUUGUAUGCAGUCUCCAUAGUGGUCCUGGGCUGGUGCGUAAGUCGGAAUUUUUUUUCUGCUACGUUACCCCUACAGUGGCAUCAUGAGCCAUGCUAUGCGUAGAUGCAGGUAGCGAUCUAGAAUACAUAGAGAUGCAUGGGUGUUGCACAAUAUAAUUUGUAGUAGAUGAGUUCUAUUACUGAAAAUUAUUUGUGCGGGUAGCAGAUGAAAUCUGUUACCCGAUGUUCUUAUUGCUUCCCUGGAAUUUGCAUAUUUCUGAUCUUGAUAACGGCAUGGUGGAUUUUCAAUGUUCUGGCAAUCCGCGAUCCUGAUUGAUCAACGAAGUGCUAAUAGUUUGUUGAAAUCCACCAUAGUUAGAAAGAAAGAUGAAAUUUCGCAGACAAAAGGGCAAUGCAGAUCUGACCUGCACGGGGGUCAUGCGUAUGACGAAGUUCAGUAUGGGGCUUGAGAUUUUAUGAUCUCGUGUUUCAUACACCCCGCAAAUUUAAUCUAGCGACUUGAAUUAUCAUAGUUGAUGAUGGACGUUGGUAGCUUCGGUUUGUUUCGAAACCUUAGAAGCCACGAAAAACAAGUUUUUGCUUGAACCGAUUAGAGGCGUCUAACUUGGUUUUGCAGGAGGGUUUUGCAUGUGCAUGUGAUGUGGUAUAGCAGUGCUCAUAAUAAUUUGAUUAUGUAUGAGAUGACUAUAUGAUGUAAAUUGAUUAACAUGACCUGCGUGUCAUGAUUCGGCAUGAUGGCUGGAGCCAUAUGAUUGUCACUUUAAUGACCUGCGUGUCAACCUUAAGUAAUGCACUUAUUUUAUUAGCUAUAGAGAUAGCAAUAUUAUCUGGUGCAUCGAUAAGGUGGUGGCAAUCUUCGUGAAGGUGAACACCGACGCGAAUGCCGAAGACGAAGGAAUGAAAUACUUCUCCAUCAGAAAGGGCUAUACCAUAUCAUGCUAUUAUGAAUUGCCUAAGAUGCUUAUCCCUUAUGAUGCACCCUUCUUGAUUGCGCGGUAGCCGCUUUUUAUUAGGGUAGUCUCUCACUUAAAAUAUCAAAGUAGUUAGUGUUCACCCAAGUGUAGCACCGUCUGAAAUUCGUAUCUUUUCGGGGUGCGCCAUGUACGCAUGAGCACGAACGAAUCGAGAGGAAUGAGGCGGGUGAUGUCAGACAUCGCAGCAAGAUCACUUGGUUGUCUUUGACGUUCAGGCAGGAGAGCCUGAGCUCGGAACACGCCCAUCGAAAGAUGAACAAGAAUCACAUAGAGAUGUGAUCGGCAAGUUGGCCUACCGAUUGAAAUUCGUGUCAUUAGUGAUGAACCCAUCAAUGGCAUCGAAUAGAAAUAUGGAUCUUGAAUCACUCUAAAUCAGAGAGAUAUUGAAUUGAGUGGGAGCGCACUAUAGAAUUAACUUGUUUAAUUCUCAGUGCAAUUAAUUAUGAACACUGUCUAAGUGUUUCUUGCAAAAUAGUUGUAGAAUAAUGGCUCGCGAUUCCACUUUCCCUGUUAAAAUUGAAUAGCUGUUAAAUAUCUGGUUAAAACUUUACGAUUGGUAACGUAAUAUGAGGAUUGUCCUCAAAAGUGCCGAGAAGGACUUUGUCCUAUCACAUGCUUUCCGUAUCCUCUCGCUAAUGCUAUGGAUCAUGUGACUCUCGUCCUUCGAUCCAAAAGCUAGAAUUCUGUUAUGGUCAAGUGGAAUAUGUUUGCUUCCAUGACACCCAAACUUUGAAAGUUGGGAUAGUUAUAUGAUAUUCAUGGAACUGAAAAUUAUUUUCAGAUACAAACAAAGCAAUGUUUGUUUGCAAGUAUUAGUAAAAGUGUUUACUAUGCAUUUGACUGUUGGGAAAGGGAUCCAAAAGAACGCCUGUCAUAUAAUGAAAGGUGAAUAAAACAACAACUUAAAGAGAAAGGAAGUGUCCAAAGGGUGUUAGUAGGACUUACACGCCUAGGAAGCCGGUGGCUAACGCCAAUCCUAAGUUGGGUGCUUCUUUUGCGAGUAGGAGAAAUACUAAAAGUUAAAGUGUUAGAAGUAUAAAGGCAGAAAGAAAGAUGACUGGAAUAUCCAGCUCAUGUAUGAAUGUCAUACAAGUUUUUGAUGUAUAGUAGGCUGGUCAAAGAUAUAGUUCUUGGGAAUUAUGGUUAAACAUGUUAAUCUCUUAUUCUUGCUGAUUGUGAGUUAAUCACAAAGAUACCCGCUCGAUUGCAUUCUGUUACGAAUCAAUGUAAGAGCUACUAUGGCCUAAAAAGACUAGCCAGAAAUGAGGUUAAGGUAUACACAGGGAACAUAGUAAAUAUUACUAUACCUUCCAUCGGUGUAUUGCCGUCUGUAUUUAUUUUCAUAAUUCAUUUAGAGUUUUACAAACUCUAGCCCAUUGCAUAAGGUAUCUUGCAAGAAGGUUGUUCAUAAGAGAACUUUUUAUGUUCGAUGUUAUGAAUAACACAAGGACCAUACUUUCAUUAUGAAUGAGAUGUAUGUUAUGAAUAUUGAUAAUAAUACAAUACCUCUGGGUUUAUUUGCAUAAUUCAUUUUAGAGUUUCAUACACUCUAGCCCAUUGCACAUUGUUUGUUGCAAAAGAGUUGUUCAUAAAAACAACAAUUGUUGUUAAGUAUUAUGAAUAACAUGGGGCCAUGCUUCCAUCAAAGAUGGGAUGUAUGUUAUGAAUAUUGAUGGUAAUAUAAUACAUCCAUAACACUGACGCUAAAUCUCACAAGACUAAAAGAAUACCACACAAGUGUGGCACUACAUUUCGUCACAUUGGAGAAACCCGCAUGGAAAAUUCCAUUAUGAUGGAUUUUGAAGUCUUUUUGAUUUGAAUCAUCCGACACUUGCAACUUUCCUCUGAAAAGUGAAGUGACUAAAAUACCGUUCACAGGCCAUAAGGAACGAACAACAAACUUAUUAGUGAUCAUACAUUUGAUGUGUGUAGUCCGAUAAGUGUUGUUAGUGGUGGAUUUAUUUAUCUUCAGAAAUGACUCAAGUUGAUAUAUGGAUAUUUACUUGAUUUGACGUAAAUUUGGAUCUUUUGAAAUCAUUCAAAAGGUUUUCAAAAAUGAAGUAGAAGUUAUUGUAACAAGACAAUUAUGUUUCUGCAAUUUGAUUGCACAAAGGAAUAUGUGAGUUACAUGUUUAGCGAAUGUCUGAUGAGUUGUGAAAGGGUUUUCAUAACUUGCACCUCCCGGAACACCACUGCAAGUGAAAAGUCCGUGGAGAUGUAAUCUAACCAUUUAUGACAUGGUAAGGUCAAAGAAGACAUAAAUAAAUUUUCCAUUAUCCCUUUUAAAGUGAUGCUUUAGAGACUGCGGCUUUUACACUAAAAAGAGCUACAUCGUGUCUGUUGAAAUGAAGCCAUGGUAUGGUACGCCCAACCAUGUUAUAUAUUUUCUUAACAUUUGGAAUAUGGGGCUUGUGUAAAAGGUUACAAACCUAUUCCAAAUCAGACAAGUGCUACUUUGUAGGUUAUACCAAAAUGUUGGGUAUUCCUCCCUCACUAUACCAAGGCAAAUAGUUUUGCCGCGAAACGGUGUGCUUUUAAAGAGAAUGGUUCUUUCAAAAAGGUGAGUGGGAGAAUAGUGCAACUCGACGAGAUAAACAGUAUCUUCGUCAUCAAAUCAAAGGAAAGAGACCUUGGAAGUAAUUCCAUAGUUUCCUACUGCGACUGAUACGGAAGUCUCUACAAUAAAAUGUAUAUGAACUUCGGUCGAACUUGUAGCUGAACCACGUAGGCAAGACUCGUGCAAACCUCUCAGGUGCGCAAACAAGAUAUUGUUGUUAGACAACAUUAUACCAACGAUACACAAGGAAGAGUUGAUGGGCCCUGACUCCAGAAUUGGCUAAAAAAUGCCAAUACAACCCGAGUUAGUUUCCAUAUAAGUGAUUCAAGAUUAAAACCUUGAUACACCUUUCGGAAGACUUAGAGUCUAACGAAUAUUUAUGAAACUUAAAACUGAUACGGAUAAAAAUGUUUUAUCCAUAAAUCUCGACUUGUUGAAAUAACAAGUUCAAGAGUUGACUACGAUGAGGUUGUUUUCAUCGUAGCGAUGCUUAAAGUCGGUUCGGGUUGAACUAGCAAUUAAUACAUAUUUCAAUCAUAAGAUAUGAAACAUGGAGGACAAUAGGAUUUCCAUGUGAUGGAAAUGAAACCCAGGACUUGCAUGUGUUACAGUCCAAGGCAUUUUGUCUAUCUAGAGGAUGCUAGUAAGGGUGCAAACUUCAGAGUUCCAGCGAUGGACAGAAGAGAGCAAAAUGGAGUUGGAAUCUUCGUGCUUUGAUGAAAUGGUCAAAGGGGUUUGACUUCAUCAAUGGGUAACGAAGAUGCUUGUAAUUGAAGAAAGUAAGUGGGAGCAUAACAAUAUUUCUAAAAACCUUGUGUGCUUGACACAUUGUUAAUUGGAAAUAAAUUUCUUGACACGAAUUAGGACUUCAUUUGAAAAUAGUUUUUUGAUGAAGUGCUUAGGCUAAAUAGCCUCAAUAUUAGGCAUAAUGAUCUAUGGAGAUAGAUUUACCUAAUAGGGCUAACCAAUGAAUACAUAUUGACAAGGUGCUACAACCUUUUAGCAUUUAAAACCGCCAAGGAGUGAUUCUUGCCGGAGUCACAUGGAAGAGUUUUUUGCAAGACUCGAUGUCCCAAAACACUGAUGAGCAAAAUACAUGAUGCAGAUUCCACACACUUUUGUGUUUGGAUUAAUCAUGUAUUCCAUGGUAUGGAAAACAACCAGAUAUGUCCGAUACUCCCAAGGUGUUGCGAGUAUCGAUACUAAAGUGAUCAAAGUACUGAUCGUGGGACAACAGUGAAAGAUGUCAUUGAGUACUAGAGUAAGUACUGAUGAUAUGUUUUCUCGCAAGUGGAGAUCAUGAAGAGUUCGUUGUAAAAGGUUACAUCGAUACAAUCUUCAUCAUUUCACCAUGCGAUUUUCGAUUUAAAUUGAGGGUUUUGUGUAACACACAAUAUGGUGGUGCAGUUAGUUGGAAAUUGUUCCAAACAAGUUACUGUGGCGAAUUCUAUAACAGAGGCGAAGUAUGUUGCCGCUUUAGAAGCGACAAAGACAAAGAUGUUGAAUCAUAUAGUUCAUUCAUGAACUUAGUAUGGUUCCAAGAAGGCUUUUGUCAAUGGGACACUAUUGCAGAUAGUUGCUCCAUAACUCAGUCUGAGGAAUCAGGUUUCGACCAAUGAUUCACAUCUAUACAAAGCCAAGUCCGCACAAAAUAUGAAUUUUGUGAAAGCGUGAAAACACGAGGAUAUGCAGAGAUACACAUGGAGCUGAAGUUGUCAGAUCCGAUGGACAUCUGGCUAUACCACAUGCGAAGCAUUUUUUACACCGGUAUGCCAUAGGUGUAAAGUGCAUUAGCAUUAACUAAAUUAUUGACUGUAGUGCAAGUGGGAGUCUGAAGGAGAUAUGCCCUAGAGGCAAUAAUAAAUGAUAUUAUUUAUCUCCAAGUUCAUAAUUAUGUUUAUGUUCCAUGCUAUAACUGCAAUGAUUCUCGAGUCUGCAAUAUCCACGAGGCUCGGAGGGAGACUCAUAUGCACGUGUGGAAUAAUAAACGGUAAGAAGUAUUCCUAGUCUGGCCUCUAAGACUAGCUCAAGUGUUGCAUGAUGGUUCUGUUUUCCUGAUCAUGGGCAUGUCUAUGCCAUCAAUUUUGAGGGCACAAUGUUAAGAGAACAUUUGUGUUGAAUCGACCCGGAUUGAUGUUAUGCUAUGCGAUUCAUUCGUCACAAGUUAAUGGUACAUAACACAGAGAUGGUUAACGUUUGCAUGAUUCCUUAGACCAUGAGAGUAUCGAGUUUCUUCAUGCUUGCUUCAUGAACUUUGGGGUUUGUUUAACGUCAUCUGUAAAUGGGUCGCUACUACGGCGGCUUACGGGUUCAUGGAAAAGUAUGUCAAGUAACUUGAUAGCUCAAGAUUGGGAUUUGCUCCUCCGACGAUGGAGAGAUAUUCUCAGGCCCCCACGGCUUUACGGUAUCCAUAAUCGUCUGGCCAGACACCUUGUGAUUUGAUCACUGGGAUGCCGGAACACGGAAACGAGAAAAGAGAACAAAACCGGUAAUGAGGUAACUUGCAUGGUGGACAAAUUGUUCGUCCACGGGGAUGCAAUAAAUCUCACCUCGGGUGUUUGUGACAUAUCGCGAAGCAACAGGAAUAGCUCACUGCAACUAGAGGUUCACUCGAAUAUUUAUUCGUGUGGGUAUAGGGGUCAAUAUGGGUGUCCACGGCUCCGAUGUUGAUCAUUGAUCGGAAGGGGUCACACGCUUAAGGGUCAUCUAUCUGUUGAAUACUAGACAGGUAGUCUGAGAGAAAAUCACCGAAAAAGUUUCGGACACCAAAAAGUUUCGGACAGCCAAAAAGUUUCGCAGAGAGAGGUCAUCGGAUGAGUUUCGGUGAAACCGAAAAGUUGUUUCGGGAUAUACUAUUAAGUCAAAUUGGUUUCGGCACAUGCCUGAUAAUUCUUGGAGGGUGCCAGAGUCAUUCUGGAAACUUUCUGGAAUUUUCCGGGAUAAAAGCUGGAAUAGCUCCAGAGCUGCCGGAACCACGCUUCAGAUGCUUUUCGCAGAUGAAAAUCACUAAUCCGGAAUUGUUUUGGAACGUGUUAAAAAUUAUUUGAGUGGGUACUGGAAAUGUUCUAAGCCCACAUAAAUAUUUUCCAUCCGAACGGACGCUGAAAAAUGUCGUCGUGAAUAGUGAAAGUGCUUUUUGGGAUAUUUAUGGAAUGCCACCUUUUGGGGCUUUUCCCAAAAGGCUUCUAGAAGGACUUGGGGGUCAAGGAACCCCCUUUGGGGGCCCCCAUGAAGGUGGGACGUUGGAGGGUGCAGCUCCUCCAUGGGGCUCCACUUGUCAUCCCUUUAUGCCCUUUAUGCCCUUUAUGUGGGACAUAAAGUGUGGGCAUUUUUGGGUUUUUCAUGUGUCCCCUACCCCUUGGGUUUUCCUAUAAAUAGAGUUGGAGAGGCACUCUCCACACUCACUCUUUCUCACAUACAAGUGCCAUUGCAAUGAUCUGGCUUCUCUCUCCCUCCCCGCGAAAUAGUUUCGUAGAGCCGAAAGGCUGUCUGGGUUCCGGCAGGAACUAGUUCUGGACGGCGAAGCCCUGCCGGAUAGAUGACACCGUAUGUGUGCAACUCUGUAGAGAGAUUGUCAUUUCGGUCUUAGUUCGAGAGUGCCUCCCGAAGGGCUGUCCAUGUGACCGUCCGAGUUUCAAAGGUCCUCCCGAAGGGCUGUCUGAGUGACCGUCCGAGUUUCGAAGGUCCUCCCGAAGGGCUGCCCGCGACACCGUCCGGGGGACUGUUCGACCACCUCCCGGAGGGCUGUCCGAGGGGAAGAUGAGGGUAUACAUCCUCACGGUUGGGAGGUUGUAAAAUCCUAGCUGCGGGGAUCUGCAACGUCGAUCGUCAUCGACUCUACUUCGCGCUGCGCUACGAGUCGGUAACGAAAAAGAUCAAACCUUGUAUGUAGUCUCCAUAGUGGUCCUGGGCUGGUGCGUAAGUUGGAAAUUUUUUGUUUUCUACUACGUUACCCCUACAAGGAGGGAGUUGUGUAGUCGUUGACUCGCCAGAUGAUGAAUGAGGUGUCCCCUGAUUAUUUGAAUCGGACGGAUUAAGAGGUUGUCGAAAAUAACCCGCCUUGGGAUAAGAAGUAUCAGAAAUAUAUGAGACCUCGGAUCGACGUUUCCGGACUGGAGUGUUCGGUAAACCGGCUGAAGUAACUACUUGGCCGCUAUGCCGGGUUGUGCGGCGAGCUUCGUUUUACUGGUUCUUUAAAAGAAAGUUUGGGUCCAAGUGAGCUAGGGGAUGAGAAAAUCUUACUUACCGGUUUGCUUGACGGGUUUUCUGUGUUGGCAGAGGAUCUGAACCGGAGGAAAGAAUAAUUACCUCUACAUCAUCAGCUUGGCUGGCUUCAGCGUCAUCCUGAUAAUAGUCAUUGUCAAUGAGGUGUAUGAAAAAAGAACCAAGAGAAUCAAGUUCUACCUCUGAUUCCGGAUUAUCCGGAUCAUCAUCAACGUUUGGUUCAGAGGAUUCAGCGGUUUUCUUCUUGGCAGGUUUUUUAGUCUUGGGGCGAGGUGUCUUUGCCGGUUUAUCCUGUGGUUUCUUCUUCCAGAACGGAUCAUCACCCUGUCAAAGAUUGACAAAAUUUUGAGGGAAUAUUUAAAAGGAUCAGGUUAAAACAAAACUUAUAUAAUUCUUACAGCUGGCGCUUUAUUGGAAGCGCAAAAGGGACUUAGCCCUGUCUUGCUACAGACAGCCUCCGGUUCAUUCAGUAUUUUCUUGACAGCCUCAGUGAUUUCAGCUUCUGUUAGUUGAAUGUCAAUAUGCCGUUGAGGGUCUUUUAUGUCCUCCGUGUACUCGCACAUUAAACCGGGGCGUCGGCUUAAAGGCAGAAUACUCCAGGAGAUCCAACAGCGAACAAAACCAAUGCCUGUUAAACCGUUUGCAACGAAGGCCCGAAGCUCUGAAAGCUGUGGAGCGUACUUGGCUCGUUCUUUGGCGCUAAGUCGUUGGGGGAAUGGAUGUGUGUUGGUAAGCCGGUGAGGACGAUAACCCAGCAGAGGAUUCUCAUCAGUUGGAGACGUAUCUCGGCAGUAAAACCAAGUCUGAUUCCAGUCCUUGGGGUGACUAUGAUGCCUGGCGUGAGGCAAACUAACAUCUUUCCUCUUCUGGAUUGAAACCCUGCCAAGCUCAGUAUUGGGCCCAUCUGUAAACUCAGUGCAACGGUUCAAGUAGAAAAAGUCUCUGAACAGCUCAACGAUGGGUUCUUCUUGCAGAUAAGCCUCGCAAAAUACUUGAAAAUUACAAAUAUUGGUCACAGAGUUAGGUCCAAUAUCUCGAGGGUGGAGCUGGAAUCUAGCAAGCACAUCACGGAAUUUUUUGAUCCGGGAGGGCUAAAACCUCGACCCAGAUGAUCAACGAACACGAUUACUUCUCCAUCCUUGGGCUCAGGAGGAUUUUCCGGACCAGGAGCCCUCUAGUGAAUGACUUCCUUUUUUGCUAAAGCGCCGGGUGCGACACAUCCAUUUAACUGCUCUUCAGUAACCCGGGAGGGGACGCAGUUGCAAGCAUAGAAUUGUUUGGCCAUUUCAAAAAAAAGCUGGAAAAAGAUCAAUGUCGGUUUAAGAUUCAUGACUGACAAGUAUAAAGCGUCGCAAGGUCAGAAGGAGAAGACAUUGAAGCAUAUAUACAUGUUAAACCAGAUUCUUACAUUGGCAGGGUUACAAAAAUGACGAAUCGGCGGUUUAAUAGAGGGCUAAUGGUACCUGGCGGAUUAUAAAUUUCUAAAAGUUAAACCGCCUACUUUGGUAUGGAAGGUACAGAUCUGAAAUAACUAAGUAAUGGAAAACAUGUCUCACAGAUUGAUAUGAUAAAUUCAGAUCUGCAGCGUGUCUGCAAAUCAAACUAUAUUCAGACCUAAAGUAUGAAGAGGAUGCUCUAAUGAUGAAAAAGGGGAACUAUAACUACGACUGCACAGGAAAACAUGAGAUCUGAGCUCGCCAUUUACACUACGGAGAAGAUAGGGAAGAACAGCACUAAGCUUCGACGAACUCGCAGAAACCCUAACGGGAUCUGUGGGAGGAGCAAAGGAAAGACUUACCGGGGAUGUUGAACGCGGAGGCGUGCAGACAAAAAUAUGGUCAAAUCAGGUUAAUGCGGCGGCCGUUGUUGGGGCUGAGGCGAAGGUCAACGGCAGCGGCAGCACUCGAGUACUGAGGCGACGCGAGGUGGAAGAAAGACGAAGAGGCAAGGGGAGAAAAGGAAAGGGACCCUCGGCCCUAUUUAUAAGACGAAGGGAUAAGCGACAGGCAAGGGGACGACCCGACGGCGGUUCAAGGACAAAAAACAACAACUCGAGAGCCAGGUCAAGCGGAUUCGCUCCCUGGUCAUCGAAACCCUAGUAAUUCAACAUCAACUAGAUUAGGCCUUUACCUUCACCGCAAGGGGCUGAACCAGUAUGAACUCCUUGCGUCCUUUGUCUCGCUUUAACCCCUUUAAGCUAACCCGUCGUGAUGGCUCCACGACUAAGUCCUCACACUAGGACAUCUGCCGUGACUAACCCACGACAAGUAGCGUGCUAUAGCAUACGAGGAGAGGCCACACUGAAGUUUGGCAAUUUUUCUUAUGAUGGGGCUAUUCCCGAAAUAGCAUGCUAUAUUGCGCUAAAAUGGUAUAGGUAGUAGUUACUAUUUUAUUGGCAGCCCAUUAUCCCAAAGACACAUGUCUGACCUAGCCCAAAUAGGAAAAAUAGCCAAUCCCCCAUCUGACCAAGCGCUUCCAGUCCCCAACUCUCUACUUUAUUCUCCACCCAACCACGCGGUCCUGUGCGCCGGCGGUUGCGGCUUCUUCUUCCUCCUGUUUGGCCCCUCUUCUUCCUUUCCUCGCUGGUCUUCCUCUUUUCUUCGUCGGUCUUCCCUCGUUUGCGGCGGCACGAAGUCGCAGCAAGCUGCGCUGCUGACAAGUGAGGCACCAAGCAAGUUCUUUGAGCUCGCAUGUCCGUGAUGUAUGUGUUGGAUCAUGAUGUUUGCUUGAUAUUAAUUUCAAUUAUCUUACAAGUUAUCCAUCUUAAAUCCAAGCACUCGAUUGAUUGAUCGUCGCUUUGUUCAAUAGCUAGCUACAUGGAGUGCUCCAAUAUCCGGCAAUGAGAGGUUAUUCUUUAGCAAUGGAGAUCCCGGCGGCACCUGAUUCUAAAUUUGUAUAUUUUUUCUAUGUUGUUGCCUCAUGGGUUGUUGAUGUUAGGCCGCAUUAAAGCCUUUUUUGUACUUUAUUAUUGAACUACAUCAUUUAUACUUGUUAAAGUUCUUUAAUUUUAGGCUAUACAUGGCAUUACUUUGAAACACCACCUGUAAAUAGCACGCUAUAGCGUGUAUAGCAUCUGGAGGAGACCACCCCUAUUUCUCUUAACACGAUAUUUUUUUGUUGCUUUUUCGAAAGGCACAAUCACUUAUUGUUACUGCUGAAUGCACACUGAUCACUCUCACAAACAAUUCAUCAUUGAAAAUGAGGCCCGUGCACAGAUUCUUCUCCACCUUUAGCUUGUAUCUCUCGUAGUAAAAUAAAAUAUCAGAAAAUAUGUAGCCUGGAACACAACAUCAGCUCACAUAUGCUUCUGGGGGAAGUUGUAUAGGUAACUAAGGCCUAUACAUUUAUCUGCAAAAUAAAAUGUUGCAGGAGGAUUAUAUACAUAAGGCAACAUGAUUUAAAUGAAUGUAAAACAACACAUUAUAUUUCUAAUGCGCUGUCAUCUCAUUUUUAAGAUGAUGAUAUGAAGUCUGUCUUUGGUUGCACGUCUCCGUUUUCCUGUACAAGUCUAUGGGAUGGUGUGAACCAACUUAAGACUACCACGGUGCCUUCACGCCUUCUUUAGAAGGUGAAUAUGUACCAUGGUUAUGCUUUCAAGUGAUAUUUUUUGACGUAAUUCUUAUCAAUGAUUUUGUAUAAUGUCUUCAUUUAGAAAAGUAGCAGAUUUUGUUUUGAUAACGAUCAACCAUGUAAAAAUGAUUGUUGUUUUGCUCUAAUGUAGGUGUAUUUUGAUGAGUUAGGACAAAUGGCAAUAUUGACAGAUAAGAUAAUAUCUGAACCACAGUGAACAUUAAGUUUGUGUCAAAAAAAUUAGCCUUUUGAAUUUAUUACUACAUGGCUUCUAGUUCCACUCUUCUUUGGAGAUGGCCCAUUAUUAGCUACAAGUCAUGUGAAACUAAUGCUGAUUUUAGAACAAUUAGUUCCUGUGCAAUGUUUGGUACGUCAUAUAAUGGUCUUAAACAAUGUUUUCUCAUAAUUCCUCAGUGCAAAAACCACUAAAGCUAUGUUUAAAUAGGGAUUUUUUCCCUUAGGCCACAUUUUUCUUAGAUAUCCCAUUUUCCAUGUUGCUUUUAAUUACUUGAAAUAGUUUUAGGCCAUCCAACGGUAACGAAGCAGCCAACCAGAUCCACCUCGCAUGCAAACCUUCGUCCUGUAGUGACCAGUGGUAAAAAGAUCCAUUAGUUUUACUACUGGAAACUAAGUGUAUUACGAUCAAACCUAAACCAAGAAUUAAGUUGUAAAAGUGUCUACCACAUUUACUACAAAAAUGCAAAGAGUUUUACCAUGAAGUUCUAUGGAAGAUUAAGUAGUAAACGAAUCUAGUAUUUCUUUACUACAGUACAACAAGCAUAUUACGGAAUGAAUAAAAAAUUAGUCCAUGGGUUUUUAGGCUGCACGCACGUACGCCAGAGCACUGAAUAGCACCAGCAUAUGUAUUAAAAAGAUUAUUAGCUUUUACUACAUGUUACACAGGGCUUUACGACCGAUAGUUCGCACAGGCUUUCACAGUAAAGAUAUCAAUAAGUUUUACUAUAUGUUACAUGAUACAUUACUGUCAAUUUAUGCCCAUGCCUGUGAGUAAUGAAGUUAACACUUUUUACUACAUGUCACACGGGCUAUUACUAUCAAUAUAUGACCAAGCAUCUAGAGUAAUGAAGUUAACACUUUUUAUGGAUGACGGUGUAACUCAGUUGACGUUAUUCACACUAAGAUUUUGUUGUCUCUUGAGGGAACAUCUGGAACACUCUCUUGAUCUCUAGGUACAGCCUACAAGUAUGAGUGGAUAUACAUAAGCGUGGCGCUUUAAUUUCGUCCAAACACAUACACACACCCCACACAUAGACUCAACCCAACACUCCCUCGACUUCUCAAAAAAACACUCCCCCUGAGAUGGGAGAUAAGUAUCUACAUUACCAUGUUGUUACAAGCUAAAUUAUAUUACUUGAGUCCUAACCCUUAGUUAGACAAUCUACUACAUGAUUCCCCAAGCUUAUGUGAUUUAAUUCUACGAGCAAAGAUUCCUCUGCGUUGCAACGGGAGAAAAAAACAUGCCCCUAGCCCAGUAAGCAUGGCUCAAGACUCCCACGGGUCUACAUCCUCUAUUUCAAUAUGGCGCCCUACCCGUGUCACUACUUAUCCAUCUUUCCACCCUCACUGAUAAUGAGCGUGGUGUCCACCCUAUCACAAUAUGUAUGAUGGUCAAUCCCAAGCCGAUGAUCUCAGCCACCGCAUGGCUCAACCUCAUUGAACCGCAAGAUUGAAAGAGAAUGUUUGGAACAUCUUGCAAUUUGUUAAAAUGUUAGCUUAAAUAUCAUGGAGCAUCGAGGAAAAACAAAUUUCCCAUUGAACUAUUAGCCAAAAUAGUUGCUUCUAUAUUGGUGUGGCUUCCUUCUAUUUGUAUCUCGGGUAUGAGUGAAAAAAUAUUCAGUCUCGAAAGACAACAAAUAAAUGAGAGCAAAAGAGUGAGUAUUAUUAAAAUUGCAUGCACGCCUUAUAUACUCAAAUGAGACUGAAGAAGCAAUAUGCCCUUUAGUCAUAUACAAACAAAGGAAUAGGGCCAUUUAGAAAAUGUUUGAAUUAUAAGCAUCAACUUGUAUGUUGUGCCACUUACAAUGAUCUGUUCUACCAAUUGGUCCACAAUGACUGCACUAAUGCCGGGAGCAUGGAUCAUCUGAAUGGCUUUGUUUCUUUGUUUCUGAAGAGACAAUUCAUAAAUCGUAAAUCGAACACCAUUGACCCCACCUACGAAAGACUGGCUCAUCAUUCUUUAGCAAAGCAACCCCUAUUAUUGUCCAUUGUUUUUCUACAUGUUGCUCAUGUGUUAGCUAGCUUUAGUUACGUGUUAGUUUAAUAUUUCACAUCGAGUCAAGUAGAUGUUCACUUUCACAGUUGAGCUAUUGCUAAUUGUCUUGUACAAAACAUAACUAAUCUUCCUGAAAGAAUUCUUAGUAUGGUUCAUUCAUUCACUAUAUAUCAAUAACUAUUUCUAGAAUUGUCGUUACUGAUAAAAAUUCACAAAAAUGCUCAAUGCCAAAUUAAUAGAAGCAAAUUUCAAGUGUGUCAAGUCCACUUUCAAUAGCAUGUGAGUGAAUUUAUCCUACCAAAACCAUCUCUUCAGAAUCAAUGCCCAUGCAAAAUAACUAAUAUCUCAGAAUAUAAUUCACAUCAUUUUACCAAGAAUUUCAUCUACUAAAAAUCAUUUACACAGAAAUGAUUUAAAACACAAUUAAAAAAGUUGUAUUAUUUCAUUUUCGUUAAACUAGUAUAUAACAAAAAAAAGGUAAAAAUAUAUGGAAAACACACUUUUUUUUUACAAUGAGAAUAAUAGUAACCUAAUACGACAUUAUAAUUUCAUAAUAAGUUAACAACGGAUAAUGAUGAUCCCCGUGCAUCAAACAUGCCUAAGACAAAACUAUGUUCGCCAAAGGUGCGUAUUUGAGAAUGUGAGCACAUUUGGAUGCAAGUUUCCUUACACAAAUGAAAUCAUAUGUGUUCAUGAUACAACUUUAUAAAAUUCUAGCCUGCACAUGGGGCGGGCCACUAUGCUAGUACAGUGAAAAGCACAAACAUACAUAAGUAAUUGGAAAGCAAUAACACUAAUUACCUUCGAUACUUGGGUUCCUUAUUAUAUAGUAGUUUGGCACUGAUCCCUCUCUUUGAAUAAUAGUGACAAUGCUAAUGUCAACCACAACUUACUCCUUAAAUCUCAAGUAUAGGUUACAAUCUUUUCUCGAGUAUUUUUCAUCUCCAACAUAAAUAGUCAAUGCAUAUUUGGUGCUUUUAGAGAAAUAAAUACGCCAUACUCUUUCCAUCAUUCAGACUUGAAGAUCAUGUCUUUUUUCAAUGAAAAAAUAGUGCACAAUUUCUUUACUAGUAGCGCGCUAUAGCAUACGAGGAGAGGCCACACUAAAGUUUGGCAAUUUUUCUUAUGAUGGGGCUAUUCAUGAAAUAGCACGCUAUAUUGCGCUAAAACAGUAUAGCUUGUAGUGUGAUGUUUUAUUGGCAGCCCAUUAGCCCAAAGACACAAAUCUAACCAAGCCCAAAUAGGUAAAUAGCCAAUCCCCCAUCCGACCAAGCGCUACUAGUACCCAACUCUCUACUUUAUUCUCAACCCAACCACGUAGUCAUGUGCGCCGACGGCGGCUUCUUCUUCCUCCUGUUUGGCCCGUCUUCUUCUAUUCCUCGCUGGUCUUCCACUUUUCUCCGCCGGUCUUCCCCCGUUUGCGGCGGCAUGAUGUCGCCGCCAGCUGUGCCGUUGACAAGUGAGGCACCAGGCAAGUUCUUUGGGCUAGUAGGUUCAUGAUGUACGUGUUGGAUCAUGAUGUUUGCUAGAUCUUAGUUCCCAAUUAUGUUACAAGUUAUCGAUCUUAACUCCUAGCACUCGAUUGAUUGAUCGUCGCUUUGUUAAAUAGCUAGCUAGAUGGAGUACUUCAAUAUCCCGCAAUGAGAGGUUAUUCUUUAGCAAUGGAGAUCCCGGCGGCACCUAAUUCUAAAUUUGUAUAUUUUUUCUACGUCGUUGCCUCAUGGAUUGUUGAUGUUAGGCCACAUUAAAGCUUUUUUAGUACUUUAUUAUUAAACUAUAUCAUUUAUUCUUGUUAAAAUCCUUUAAUUUUAGGCUAUAUGGCAUUACUUUGAAACACCAUUUGUAAAUAGCACGCUAUACCAUGUAUAGCAUCUGGAGGAGGCCACCUCUAUUUCUCUUAACACACUAUUUUUUGUUGCUUUUUCGAAAGGCACAAUCAUUUAUUGUUAUGGCUGAAUGCACACUGCUCACUCCCACAAACAAUUCAUCGUAGAACACGAGGCCCGUGCACAGAUUCUUCUCCGCCUUUAGCUUCUAUCUCUGGCAGUAAAAUAAAAUAUCAGAAAAUAUGUAGCCUGGAACACAACAUCAGCUCGCAGAUGCUUCUCAGGGAAGUUCUGUAGGUAACUAUGGCCUAUACAUUUCUCAGCAAAAUAAAAUAUUGCAGGAGGAUUAUAUACAUAAGGUAGCAUAAUUUACAUGAACUAAAAACAACACAUUAUAUUUUUAAUGCACUGUCAUCUUAUUGUUCAGGUGAUGUUAUGAAGUCUGUCAUUGGUUGCAUAUCUCCGUUUGCUUGUACAAGUCUAUGGGAUGGUGUGAACCAGCUUAACACUACUAAAGUGUCUGUUCUCGCCUUUUUUAGAGCGUAAAUAUGAACCAUGGUUAUGCUUUCAUGUGAUAUUUUUUGACAUCAGUCUUAUCAUUGAUUUAGUAUAAUGUCUUCAUUGUCAUGUCUUAGAAAAGUAGUAGAUUUUGUUUUGAUAACAGACAACCAUGUAAAAAUGAUUGUUGGCUUGGCUUACCAAAUUGUUGUUUUGCUCUAAUGUUUGUGUAUUUUGAUGAGUUAGGACAAAUGUCAAUAUUGACAGAUAAUAUAAUAUCUGAACCACAGUGAACAUAAUGUUUGUGUCAACCAAAAUUAACCUUUUGAAUUUAUUAUUACAUGGCUUCUAGUUCCACUCUUCUUUGUAGAUGGCCCAUUAUUAGCUGCAAGUCAUAUUAAACUGAUGAUGAUUUUUAGAACAAUUAGUUCCUGUGCAACAUUUGAUACGUCAUAUAAUGGUCUUAAUCAAUGUUUUCUCAUAAUUCCUCGAUGCAAAAACCACUACUGCUAUGUUUAAAUAGGGAUUUUUUUUCCAUAGGACACAUUUUCCUUAGAUAACCCAUUUUCCAUGUUGCUUUGAAUUACUUGAAAUAGUUUUAGGUAAAACUAUGUCUAUCAUAGCUUGCCAUAGAACUAGUUAAGGCUUGCUAGACAUUUAACGGUUUAUAAGUUAUUAAAAUAUGAAAUAAUUAGGGGAGCCUCACACUAAUAUAAUAAGAUGAUCCAAUGGUGUGAUUGUGAAAAUAUACAUUUAUUUGUCCUCAGCGAAAAACAAGCAUUUCAGCUCACUGCAGGAUCAAUAUAUACUGAAACAUUUGUUCUUUUUGUCCAGGACACAUCCAGUAAUAUUUUUUCAAUCACUCCGUUGGAUCAUGUUAUAUUUUGGGUGUGUUUAUUCUUUUUUCAGGAUUUUAGAGAACUUUUACACCGUCGAAAACCUUAACUAUGCCUGUCCGGAAAUAAUUUAUUCUACGCUCCGGCCGUCCCACGGCAAUGAAGCAGCCAACCAGAUCCACCCCGCAUGCAAACCAACCUCCUGUAGUAACUGGUGGUAAAAAGACCCAUCAGUUUUACUACUGGAAACUAAGAGCAUCUCCAGCCGUUGGCCCCCAGGCGGCGAUUUUACGCGCCCCCGGGGGCGAGCCGGUGCUAAAAUCGGCGCGGGGCAAGCGGGCCGCUCGCCCCAGGGUAGCCCCAGACGCGUUUUUUUUAAAUCUGAAUUCGGCAAAGAUCAGCUAAUAUACGGCAAACUUGGCAUUCAUAUUCAACAUGUUCGGCCUUUUACAUAAAUUAUUGAAAAAAAAGGUAUCUACAGGGCGAAGAAGUUGAUCAGUGCGGCGAAGUCACCGACAUCGCCGUCGUCCUCGUCGUCGUCGGCGGCCUUCUCCUUCUUGAUGGCGCGGCCGCCCCUGCUGGACCCCUGCCGGCGUCUCCAUGGCGGACCGGUGGUGGCGGCGCAUUGUCGUCAUCGUCGCUGUCGUCGAGGACGACGAUGCCUCCCUCGUCCCGGCCACGGCGACGAGCUUCGAACCGCGCUAAGGCGGCGCACUGGCGCUCCCUCUCCGUCUGCAACCAGUCGUCGCGCGCCCAUUUAAGGGCCACUUCGUCGUCGAGCGCCUCCUCCUUGACAUCGCCGCCGAGCCCGCGCUCCGUCUUCACGACGCGGAGCCCCGGCUCCGGCUUGACGGCGGCGAGCCCCGGCUCCGUCUUCGUCUUGAGAAACGCGGAGGUGCUGAGGAGGAGGGACGCCGGCCACCCUUGUUGAUGACGAUGCCGGCGCUGCGGGUGCGCCAGCCGAGCGACGUCUCCGCGGCGGGCUCUGCCUUGAUGCCGAAGAGCGCCGACGAGCCGGGGGAGUGGGAGGAGGAGCGGGAGGAGGAGGAAAAGUGGGAGGAGGAGGAGACGGCGAACCUCCUAGGCACCUACGGUCUGGCGCUUCAGCGGGGCCGGGGCCGGCACGACCGCCGCGGCAGGGUACGCCAGUGGCAGGUUGUUGCCGCCCUCGAGGUGUGCUAUCACCUCGUGCAGGGUGCGGCCGGGGACGCCCCACCAGACGCGGCGCCCAUCGCUGUUUUUUAGGCCACCGACCACCGGCGCCCCGUUCGUGGACGCCAGCCGUUGUGCCUGCCGCCGCUGGAAGUAGUCCGCCCACGCCGCGUGGUUGUCGGUCGCGUACUGGGGAGGGCGUGCUGCUCCUCCGACAAGGACGACCGCAUGCGGUUGACCUCGGCGGAGAAGAGGCCGGGGCGCGCGUCGACGUCGGCCACCGGGGGGAUGGGGACGCCGCUGUUGCUGAGCUUCCCCCCCGCCGACCCGGCGCGCAUGUCCGGCGGCCGCGGGAUGUUCGCCUCGAAGAGAAGCCACGACUCACACUCCUGGAGCGUGCGGCGGCCGAAGCCGUUGGCCGCCGCGGCGUCGCCGGGGAAGCGUUCGGGAAAGGAAGAAGGGGAAGGGGAGGGAAGGGGAGAGCGGCAGAGCUCGGCGGCGGAAGGGAGGGACGGCGGCUGGUUUGGGCUCGGCGGACUCGAGCUGGUGUGGCCAGCGGCGAGGGAAGCCUCUGUUUAUAUAGCCCCAGGCCGUGUGAACGCGUGGCGGAAGGGGAGGCGUCGCCGUGCCAGCCAGCCCGCCAUUGAUUCUCCGCGGGAAACCGAGGCGUUCGGGGGGAAGACGAGGCGCGUGCCGCUGACUCGGUGGGCCCGCCGCGCAUUCGCGCCAAAACCCCUCGCCCCGGCGCCUCCGAGUGCCCCCAGUGUGCCGAGUUCGGCCUGGGGCCGCCGGUGCCGAUUUCGGCCCAAGCCGGCGAGAAACGGGUUCCUGGGGGCGCGACUGGGUUGAUUUUUGGGCGCCGGCGCGGCAAAAACGCCUGGGGAGGGCCUGUUGGGGCUGUGGCUGGAGAUGCUCUAGGUGUAUUACGAUCAAACCUAAACCCAGAGUUAAGUUGUAAAAGUGUCUAGCACACUUACCAUCAAGUUUAAUUCCGGAUUAAGUAGUAAACGAAUUUAGUAUUUUUUUACUACAGAACAACAAGCAUAUUACAGAAUGAAUAAAACAAUUAGCCAAUGGGUUUGCUAGGCUGUCCGCACGUACACCAGAGCACUGAAUAGCACCUGCAUAUGUAGGAAAAAGAUUAUUACUUUUUACUACAUGUUACAUAGGACUUUAUGACCGAUAGUUCGCACAAGCUUUCACAGUAAAGAAAUAAAUAAGUUUUACUAUAUGUUACAUGAGAGAUUACUAUCAAUUUACGACCAUGCACCUGAGUAAUGAAGUUAACACUUUUUAUUACAUGUCACACGGGCUAUUACUAUCAAUAGAUGACCAUGCAUCUAUAGUAAUGAAGUUAACACUGUUUACUACAUGCCGCAUAGGCUAUUACGACCAAAUGUAUAGAGGAGCACGAGGAUGGGCGCAUGUUUUCUAGUUGAUUGGGUGCACCAUACGGUCGAAGUGCAGAAUAAGGAUUUUGCGCUCGGGCGCAGAUUAGCGCCACCAUAUAGUAAAAGUAGAAUAUAUAUAUCAUGGAUGACGGUGUAACUCAGAUGACACUAUUCACACUAAAAUGUUGUUGUCUCUUGGGGGUACAUCUGGACCACUCUCUUGAUCUCUACUACAGCUUACAUAAAUAAGCGUGGAGCUUUAAUUUGGUCCAAACUCGUACACAAACCCCACACAUAGACUCAAACCAACACUCCCCCUCAACUUCUCAAAAAAAAAAACACUCCCCCUCAAAUGGGUGAUAAGUAUCUAUCAUUACCAUCUUGUUACAAGCUAAAUUAUAUUACUUGAGUCCUAACCCUUAGUUAGACAGUGUACUACUUGAUUCUCCAGGCUUAUGUGAUUUAAUUCUACUAACAAACAUUCCUGUGCGUUGCAACCGGAGAAAAAAAUGCCCCUAGACCAGUAAGCAUGGCUCAAGACUCCCACGGGCCUACAUCCUCUACUUCAAUAUAGCGCCCUACCCGUGUCACUGCUUAUCCUUCUUUUCACCCUCACUAAUAGUGAGCGUGGUGUCCACCCCAAUAUGUCUGAUGGUCAAUCCCAAGGCAAUGAUCUCGGCCACCGCCUGGCUCACCUUCAUUGAACCGCACCAGUGAAAAAGAAUGUUUGGAACAUCUUUCAAUUUGUUAAAAUACUAGCUUAAAUAUCAUGGAGCACUGAGCAAAAAAAUUGCACGUUGAACUAUUAGCCACAGUAGUUGCUUCUCAAUUGAUGUGGCUUCCUUCUAUUUGUGUCUUGGGUAUGAGUGAAAAAAUAUUCACUCUCAAAAGACAACGAAUAAAUGAGAGCAAAUAAGAGAGUAUUAUUAAAAUUGCAUGCACGCCUUAUAUACUCAAAUGAGGCUGAAGAAGCAAUAUGCCCUUUAGUCAUAUACGCACAAAGGGAUAGAGACAUUUAGAAAAUGUUUGAAUUAUAAGCAUCAACUUGUAUGUUGUGCCACUUACAAUGAUCCAUUCUACCAAUUGGUCCACAAUGAAUUCACUAAUGUUGGGAGCAUGUAUCAUCUGAAUGGCUUUGUUUCCUUGUUUCUGAAGAGAGAAUUCCUAACUCGUAAAUCGAACACCAUUAACCCCACCUACGAAAGACUGGCUCAUCAUUCUUUAGGCACCCUUCCCUCUCUUUUCAUUGUCCUCUAGCGAUAGAACAAACACUGUGAGACGCAACCUAAUCAACUAUUAGAUCUGCAGAAUAAAACACACUGCAUCAUGCUUACUCAAGCACAUGUAGGAUGCAUCAAAAGCCAAUCGUGAACUUUUAGUUGAAUUUUAAAAUCAUCAACGACAGAUCAAAAGCAGAUCAUGAAAUUAAAAAACCAUCAAUGAACUCCACCAAUCCACCUCGUCGUUGGUUCUACCCACCUUGAACUCUUCGGCAAGAGGCCCGUGCCACAGACGCGAUGGCGGCCUAUAACCUCCUCCUUCUUGAUAGGGCACAACCACUGGGAGCAAUCUGAGCGAGAUGAUGGCGCCCUGAUGUGGAACUACAGUAGCACGUCUCCACCAUACUCACCGUGGACCCCUUCCAUGAGGUGAGGCUUGCAAGCUUCCCAGUCUAUCUCCUUCAUCUCUGGCUAGUACCUCCACCGCAAUGGAAUCGUUGAUUCCGGUGAAACCCUACUCGAUUCCUCCUGCAUACAGCCUCCUCAACACCUCUGACAGCCUCCUGGCCAGGCAGCACACACGAUAGUAUGCGUAGAGGCUCUAAUCUUUAUACCACACUUCUGGUGAAGCCUUACCCUACAACGGCGGCCGCAAGCGGCCAUAUACUGCAAAUAUACAACACUUCGGCCACACCUAAAAGCUUCCCUAAAAUAGAACACUUUGCGCCACAAACGCUUCUCCAAAAGCUUCCCUAAAAUAGAACACUCACAAAACGACAGCUCUAGUGUAUUUUAGGGCACCAAUUUUAGGCUGUUGUUGUAGAUGAACAUUUUCUGGCGCCCUAAAAUUCACUUUUUUGAGCCUCGAAUUUUACUCCAACUGCUUUUUUGCGCCCUAUUAUAGGGCUAUGGCUGAAGAUUCCAUGAGUUUUUUUAGGGUUUUUGAAUUGGCUUCUCAAUUUUUGAAUUUCCCCCAUUGUCCAGUCUCACUAGAAAGCACAAAGAGCAAGGAACUAUGUCUCCUCUCUUUUUCCCUAUGAGAUAUUCUCUUUUGAGCUUACUUGAGCAAGAACAGUUAACAACCAGGUUCAAUGCAACUAGCACACCAAGGCCCUAAAUCCACCACGCUGCUCUACCACAAACACCGGCCACACCUCCUACAAGAAGUUCUCAUUUGCCUUCUUUCAG